rnacentral:lncRNA from 1 species
CUCAUGUCUUCCAUGCAGCUUUGGUUCUGUGAUGGUGCAGAGCUAGGCUGGUAGCAGAAAGUCUGGGGAUCUCCAGAACACUUGAGUUCGCUGCUAGCAUGAAUGUUGCCAAAAAGAUUACCUAAAUCAUUCCCUUUGCACCUUUGGUUCAUUCCCUACAUAAGUCCUGUGCAACAUGGCCCACACCCACAAACAGUGACCACCGUAGCCCAAAAGAUGAUCUAAAGAGCUUCUCCCCAUGACUCACCUUGAUGGAUGUCAAGGACAAGGACUGAAGCUCUGCUGGGACAGCGCUGGGAAAGUCCAGAGAAGCUUUGAAGCCAAUGACCUAAAGUUUAAUGGAACUGUAAUAUUCAAUGAAGCUCAAAGAAUUAUACAGGAAAUGUAACAUGAACAUGGAGCAUUAGUGGAGAAAAUCGUACUCUUCUAACAAUAUGUACUAACUUUAAACCAAAAAAGGAUCCACAUUAUACUGUUUGACAUUAAAUUCUUGGAUCAGAUCCCUACCUGUUGUAAUCUAAUAGAAUUCCAAAGUAUAAUGAGCAACUUCUUAUUGAUGGGGAUAUUAAGAGAAAUAAGAUCGUGGCACUGCAGGAUGUUAUUGUCAAGUGUCUUAUUGUGGAGGUCAGCAACACAUGAAUACAGCUGGAGAAGAGGAAAAACUUACAAAAGAGAGAAAAGAGAGCUUGCCUUUGUCCCCUGAAAUUUAAGUAUCUGUAUCUUCACACGUGACAAAACUCUUUCAAGCACAGAAUGCAUUUCGAGGAUCUUACUAUUAUUGGUAUUAUUACCCUCUAAUUGUUUUACCUAUUGACAUUGUUAAUGUUGAUUUUGGUGAAGCCAUAUACACUUGAUUUUUUUUUUUUGGAAAAAAAAAAAAAAAAAGAAACAGAAAUACCUUUGCAUGUUAUCACAGAAUCAUGGAAUAUUAGGCAUUGGAAGGGACCUUGAAAGCAUGUUGUUCCUUUUCAGCUGUUUUACAUAGCUCGAAUUCUUAGUCUUUCCGUAAAGUCCAUGAAACUUUAAGGUCUUUCAUAA